UAGAUUUUUGACAUGAAAGGAGAGAAAACUUUUCAAAUUUUUGCUGCAGAUUUGAUAGUUUUUUUGAUAAGAUUUGGGAAAUAGAAAAAUUCUUGAGAUUAAUAGAAAAAUUCUUGAGAUUAAUAGCUGACGAUCUACCGUCAAAAUAUUAAUACUAUUCACAACCUUUUGUACGACCAAUGUGACGUUUACAAAUAGCAAUAUUUAUGUUGAUGAGUAUUGUAAGUGAAUAUGAGUAUGUAGGUUUAAUGAUUUUAAUUUGCUUUUAAUUCCGCAACACAAUUCUACUCCUCCACCUUUAAAUAUCACCCAUCCUCUUUUCCUAACAAUAUCACUCAUUCAUUAGCUUAAUAAACAAAUCAACAAAUCCUUUUAGAAUACAAACACCAUGUUUCUUCCUCAAAUGAAAAUGGAUGUCUGGUCCGAAGGAGAAGACGGUAUCAUACAGUCUGGGAGAUCAAGUUCAGUGGCGGAUCUGCAUACAAUUCAGGGGUUUAUCUUCGUCGAAAAAUUAUACUAUUUUUACAUGAUCAAAAAUAUUUUUAUGUAUAUAUAUAUUAGAUAUUGAACUUCUUUCAAUUAGUUCAUAUUUUACUUCUAAACUCCUUCAGUAAAAAUUUUGGCUCUGUCACUGAUCAAGUUGUUGAAAGAUGAGUUGUGGACCUUAACCAGUUUGUGGAACAGCUUAAGCGAGAUACGUGGAAGUUGAGCAUCGUUUUCAUGCCUACAUACGGGAGGUUAACAAUGCCCACAAGAAUGAUGGUGGAGAGGCUGGUAGGGGCGGUGUUUUUUUAAUUUAUUUUUUUGGUUUUCUGUUCGGUGGUCGGUUUCUGCAUUAGAACCCGACUAAUUCAGAUUCGCACUGGGUAGGAUCCGGUCGGGAUAGCGCUUCCAACAGAAUUUUCUUCAUACCCAGAAUCAAAUUCUCAAACUUUGGUUAAAGAUCGAACAACCUCAUUCAUUGUAACACAACCAUGUUGGUGAUAGGUGCAGUGUUGAUGCUACUUAGGUGGUUUUUUUUUGUUAUUGUUGUUUUAUUCCAGUAUUUUUUUUAUUUUCAUUAUAGCGGUGGCAUGGAUGUUAUCCUAUUAUCAGUUAAUGUUCUUUUUAGUUUUUAGUUAAUAUUCGUCUUGUUAUUACCUCUAUACAAACACUAGAUCUCACAAUAUUCAAUCAAAAUGCAAAAUAUAUUACUAAGAAAAACUAACUUACCGAAAACUGUUUCUACAAACAAAAUCUAUUGAUGACCUU
rnacentral:lncRNA from 1 species